rnacentral:rRNA from 1 species
UAGAGUUUGAUCCUGGCUCCAGGACGAACGCUGGCAGCGUGCCUAAUACAUACAAGUCGACACUUCUUUUUCCACCGGAGCUUGCUCCACCGGAAAAAGAGGUAGCGACAGGUGAGUAACACGUGGGUAACCUGCCCAUCAGAAGGGAUAACACUUGGAAACAGGUGCUAAUGCAAUACCUAUAACAAUCAGAAACCGCAUGGUUUUGAUUUGAAAGGCCUUUCAGGUGUCGCUGAUGGAUGGACCCGGUGCAUUAGCUAGUUGGUAGGGUAACGGCUCACCAAGGCCACGAUCAUAUAGCCGACCUGAGAGGGUGAUCAGCCACAUUGGGACUGGGGCACAGCCCAAACUCCUACGGGAGGCAGCAGUAGGAAUCUUCGGCAAUGGACGAAAGUCUGACCGAGCAACGCCGCGUGAGUGAAGAAGGUUUUCGGAUCGUAAAACUCUAUUUGUUAGAAGAACAAGGAUAGAGUAACUGUUUCAUCCCUUGACGGUAUCUAACCAGAAGCCACGGCUAACUACGUUACCAGCAGCCGCGGUAAUACGUGGGUAGCAAGCGUUAUCCGGAUUUAUUGGGCGUAAAGCGAGCGCAGGCGGUUUCUUAAGUCUGAUGUGAAGCCCCAGCUCAACCAGGGAGGAGUCAUUAGAAACUGGGAGACUUGAGUGCAGAAGAGGAGAGUGGAAUUCCAUGUAGCGGUAAAUGCGUAGAUAUAUGGAGGAAACCCAGUGGCGAAGGCGGCUCUCUGGUCUGUAACUGGCGCUGAGGCUCGAAGCGUAGGGAGCAAACAGGAUUAGAUACCCUGGUAGUCCACGCCGUAAACGAUGAGUGCUAAGUGUUGAGAGGUUUCCGCCCUUCAGUGCUGCAGCUAACGCAUUAAGCACUCCGCCUGGGAGUACGACCGCAAGGUUGAAACUCAAAGGAAUUGACAGGGGGCCCGCACAGCGGUGGAGCAUGUGGUUUAAUUCGAAGCAACGCGAAGAACCUUACCAGAUCUUGACAUCCUUUGGCCACUCUAGAGAUAGAGCUUCCUUCAGGGGCAAAGUGACAGGUGGUGCAUGGUUGUCGUCAGCUCGUGUCGUGAGAUGUUGGGUUAAGUCCCGCAACAGGCACAACCCUUAUUAUUAGUGCCAUCAUUCAGUUGGGCACUCUACAAGACUGCCGGUGACAAACCGGAGGAAGGUAGGAUGACGUCAAAUCAUCCCAUGCCUUAUGACCUGGGCUACACACGUGCUACAAUGGGAAGUACAACGAGUCAAGUCGCGAGGCUAAGCUAAUCUCAAAGCUUCUCUCAGUUCGGAUUGCAGGCUGCAACUCGCCUGCAUGAAGCCAGAAUCGCUAGUAAUCGCGGAUCAGCACGCCGCGGUGAAUACGUUCAGGCCUUGUACACACCGCCCAUCCACACCACGGAGUUUGCCAUAACACCAGAAGUCAGGUAGGUAACCUUUGGGAGCCAGCCGCCUAAGGUGGGAUAGAUGAUUAGGGUAGAAGUCGUAACAAGGUAGCCGUAUCGGAAGGUGCGGCUGGAUCACCCUCCUUUCUAAGGAA